GUCGAGCGGCAGCGACAUACACAAUCCUUCGGGUGCGUAUAUGGGCGGCGAGCGGCGGACGGGUGAGUAAUGCCUGGGAAUAUGCCCUGAUGUGGGGGAUAACCAUUGGAAACGAUGGCUAAUACCGCAUAAUCUCUUCGGAGCAAAGAGGGGGACCUUCGGGCCUCUCGCGUCAGGAUUAGCCCAGGUGAGAUUAGCUAGUUGGUGAGGUAAGAGCUCACCAAGGCGACGAUCUCUAGCUGGUCUGAGAGGAUGAUCAGCCACACUGGAACUGAGACACGGUCCAGACUCCUACGGGAGGCAGCAGUGGGGAAUAUUGCACAAUGGGGGAAACCCUGAUGCAGCCAUGCCGCGUGUAUGAAGAAGGCCUUCGGGUUGUAAAGUACUUUCAGUUGUGAGGAAGGCGUUGUCGUUAAUAGCGGCAAUGUUUGACGUUAGCAACAGAAGAAGCACCGGCUAACUCCGUGCCAGCAGCCGCGGUAAUACGGAGGGUGCGAGCGUUAAUCGGAAUUACUGGGCGUAAAGCGCAUGCAGGCGGCUUGUUAAGCCAGAUGUGAAAGCCCGGGGCUCAACCUCGGAAUAGCAUUUGGAACUGGCAGGCUAGAGUCUUGUAGAGGGGGGUAGAAUUUCAGGUGUAGCGGUGAAAUGCGUAGAGAUCUGAA
rnacentral:rRNA from 1 species